rnacentral:misc_RNA from 1 species
CAUUCCUCGGCAGACUGGUGCUUCAACACUAUUUUAAGUGAUGAUUCAAUAAUGACAAUGUUACAUUGCUUCAACUUAUCGUGAAAAUACUAGACCAGUCUUGUGUACAUUACAAAGUUCGUGAGUGAGCUGAGAGGGGAACAAGUGGCCGACUGACGUUACACUUCUUUCAAAGAAAAACAUUCUGUUGAUUUCUUGUGUAUGUAAUUCAACACACUAUUCAGAAGAAUAUUUAUUGGCUCUUCUAUUGUGCUGUGAAAGGAACGAUAUCAUGAUUCUCUUGUUUCUCCCUGCCUUGUUCCACUACGAUUGACGCUCGCUUUGCUUUACAACCGGGGCCUUGCGGUCCGAGUAGCCAAGACACGCAUGCACGGAGAAGUGCGUGGAAUACCAGUUGCAUGAAUCAUAACACCACCACCAACGGGAGUUAGAUGAUUGGAUGGGCGUGCUCUGGCGAAGGAGCUGGUCCGCUGACAUAGCUGCAGCAGAAUCGCGGAUGUGCUAUUUGUAGCUGAGUGCUACAACUUACGGAGGUUCAUCAUCAUGUCGCUUAUGCGACGAUCACAAAAAACUUUUACUGUUAGAGUCCAGACUCUGGAUGCCGAAUUAGAAUUCAGCAUUGAUGUGAAGACUACUGGACGCCAAUUAUUUGACUUGGUGUGUCGUACUAUAGGAUUAAGAGAGACUUGGUAUUUUGGACUGCAAUAUGAGGAUUCUAAACGCUAUAUCGCAUGGCUCAAAAUGGACAAGAAGGUCCAAGAACAGAGUAUACCUAAAGAGGAGCCUGUUUCAUUCCUGUUCCUGGCCAAGUUCUAUCCUGAGGAGGCCUUUGAGGAGCUCAUCCAGGAAAUCACUCAACAUCUAUUCUUCCUCCAAGUCAAGCAGCUGAUACUUAACGAGGAGAUAUACUGUCCUCCGGAGGCCUCGGUGCUACUAGCCUCCUAUGCGGUCCAGGCAAAGUACGGUGACUACGAAGCUCAUGUCCAUCAGCGUGGUUUCCUUGCCAACGAGGAGCUGCUUCCUGGGAGGGUCAUAAGUCAAUUUGACAUGUCACCUAGCCAAUGGGAGGAAAGAAUCACAGCGUGGUAUGCUGAACAUGAAGGUCUCCUCAGAGAUGAGGCAGAAAUGGAAUACCUGAAAAUAGCCCAAGAUCUUGAAAUGUAUGGUGUCAGCUACUUUGAAAUCAAGAAUGAGAAAGGAACAAGCCUGAAUUUGGGAGUGGAUGCUACCGGUCUCAAUAUCUAUGAGCUUGACAACAAACUUGUACCAAAGAUAUCUUUCCCGUGGAGUGAAAUUAGAGAUAUAUCAUUUAGAGAUAAAAAGUUUACAAUAAAACCUACUGCAAAGAAAUCACCAAAUUUUUGCUUCAUCUCGCCAAAGCUACGAAUGAACAAACUUAUUCUUGAUCUUUGUGUUGGUAACCAUGAGCUCUUCAUGCAGAGAAGAAGAGCAGAUUCGAUGGAAGUACAGCAGAUGAAAGCUCAGGCAAGGGAAGAGAAAGCCAAGAGACAUAUUGAGAGAGAGAAGUUAAUUCAAGAGAGACAUCUCCGGCAGAAGGCAGAGCAGGAGAAGGAAGAGUUAGAGAAACAGCUUCGCCAUUUCCAAGAGGAGUCCCAGUUAGCUCACGAUGCGUUGGUGAGAUCAGAAGAGACGGCUGAGCUCCUGAAUGAAAAGGCUCAAGUAGCAGAAGAAGAAGCCAUGUUAUUAGCUCAGAAAGCCGACCAGGCUGAGAGAGAAAUCCAAGCUAUUAGAGUAGAAGCCAUCAAGACUGCAGAAGAGAAACGUUUGAUGGAGAUGAAGGCUCAUGAGGCUGAGUUCAUGGCUUUUCGGCUUGCAGAAGAGUCACAGCAAAGGAGUUUAGAAGCAGAAGAGUUAAAGCAACAGUUGUUCAAUGCAAGGCUGGCUGAAAAGGAGGCAAAGGAGAAGCUCAUACACAUCUCAACAAGAUCUCUUGUUCCGCAUUUAGAACGUAGCCAGAGCUCCCUGAGUAACGAACUAGCAGCACUCCAGCUGGAUCCUGAGCUCAGCUCUGGGGACAUGGACAUGAUGGAGGAUGUAGACGUGGAGAAACUCUCCAAGGACAUUGAAGAGAACCGGGUGGACUACCUGGAAAGAUCCAAACACCUCAAGAUGCAGCUUAAUGAACUCAAAUCAGAGAUUGAAGUCUUGAAGGUGGAGGAGAAACAAACUCAGCUGGAUCGGAUCUAUAAUGAGGUGAACAGUCGGGGCGAGAACAAGAAGACGACUCUGAGUAAGAUUAGCAAGGGUUCAACCAAAGCAAGGGUAGCCUUCUUUGAAGAGCUGUAAUGUAGUGGAUGAUCUGUGAAUCAACAUGAUGUGCAUUAUUGUCGUCAAGAAAUCAGAAAGAUCUUCAGCGGUGGUUCCCUAAUGCUCAGUUGCGUUCUUUGAAGUGUUGUGAUUAAGUGAGUAAUCCAAGGGUAAUUGUGAAUCAGCAUGUUUGUGUCAUUUUCCUCGGGGAUUCAGCAAUGGCUCUUAGGAUCAGUUGCCACCUUUCAAGAAUGUCCGGCAAAGGUUUCUCAACAUUCGGUCAUCUUCUUUGAAGUAUGACUAGAGGAUAACCUGACAUAUUUCCAUCAUUGUUGGAAAAUCAGCAAGGUCUCCUGCGAUGAUUCCUCAAGGCUCAAUUGCCUUUUUAGGCUAAAAAGACUUGAGAAAGUUAUCAACGUUUGCUACAAGGUGUGCAUCACCAUCUUUGAUGAGAAAUUAUGGAGCAGCUACAACAAUAAAAAAUGUGCUCUCUUUUUACCUAAAUCAACUAUAAUUUCAAUAAAUAUAAGGUCCUCUAUCGAGGAUCAAUGGAUAGAUGAUGGAGGACAUGAUAGUGAAUCCAGAAUGUCUGCUACUUCACUCUCCUUCAGGGAGAUUUUUUGAAAGUUUUGUCCCCAAUAUCACCAACAGAUGUUUACUCCAGAUCCUUGCAUGUGAUUGACUGAGAGCAACUUGGUGAAAAUCCCUGACCAAACUUUUCAUGAAACGCUCCCUAGGUCAGUAAGAGUUAAACCAUCAUAUUUGGGUCCUGUUACACAAAUCAAGUUACAAGAUAAAAUCAAUUGUACAAUUAGGGGUAACUGUAUUCCUAGCACACACACCAUAUACAAAAAGGAUGCAAUCAGUCGUAAAUUUGACUAUAACUUUUUUCUGUUACACCCCCAUUCUGUUCAUAUUUCUGAAGAAAAAAAAUCACAGUAACACAUUAAUUGGCUGGAAGAAGAAAGUAAACUUCUAAGAAGUUCACCAAUGUUUAGUUGAGCAUUGUUCAGUCUUUCAUUGCUCUGCCCUCAUUGCAACAUUGGUAUGGUUGGCAUCCUGUUUCAGCUUUGGUCACAAGUCAUGUACCUCCUUGUUUGUGUGUAGUUUGUUACUUUUAUAUGAAACCCUUGAAAUGCAUACACAAGGUUGCACAUUUUUAUCAAGCAUGCUUAACAUGAUGCAUGUGUAAGGUGUUCGGAUAAACGCAACCGACACAUGCAGCCAUCAUACUUAAUUCAUAUACUUCUUACAUGGAACAACAUGAGAAGGUCAUUUGAACUCCAUGCUUCAAAACUAAGGAAUGGCAUAUGUAGCAAGUUGAAAACAUUGAUUGUGCCUUGAAAAUGGGAUGCUGUACAUUCUCAAGAUUUCUCAGAGGGUUAUGAUAUCUGUGUAAAGACUCAGGAGAAGAUGCAGACGGGUAUAACAGAAAUCCGCUUUAAGUCACUUUCAGCUGAGAAGUAUGCA